rnacentral:rRNA from 1 species
UACGUAGGGGGCAAGCGUUGUCCGGAUUUAUUGGGCGUAAAGCGCGGGCAGGCGGCCCGGUAAGUCGGCCGUGAAAGCGCCGGGCUCAACUCGGCGAGGACGGGCGAGACUGGCGGGCUAGAGCAAGGCAGAGGGCGGUGGAAUUCCGGGUGUAGUGGUGGAAUGCGUAGAGCUCCGGAGGAACACCAGUGGCGAAGGCGGCCGCCUGGGCCUUUGCUGACGCUGAGCCGCGAAAGCGUGGGGAGCGAGCCGG